CCGUGCUAGAUGGGGAGAUGGCGGUGCCCUGUAACUCGCAAUCCGCCUUAGCGAGGUUGAAUUCCUAGCAGCGGUACAGUUAAUGUAGGGUUUGCCUUAUGUAAGCGGUGUUGACUAUUAGGGUCUACGCAACAGAAACCUAUGAAAUUGGUCAGGUUCGGAAGAAAGCAGCCAUAAGUAGAUCAUUCUGUGUGCCGUAGAUAGCCCGAAUUGAGCUGGCUAUAUAAGUAGCACUUAUGUAACUGUAUCAAUGAUAGGUGCACGG
rnacentral:SRP_RNA from 1 species